rnacentral:rRNA from 1 species
AUUGAACGCUGGCGGCAGGCCUAACACAUGCAAGUCGAACGAGUGGCGGACGGGUGAGUAAUUUAUGGGAAACUGCCUGAUGGAGGGUGCUAACUACGGGACACGGUAGCUAAUACCGCAUACCAUCGGAUGUGCCCCGAUGGGAUUAGCGAGUGGGUGGGGGAAAGGCUCACCUAGGCGACGAUCCCUAGCUGGUCUGAGAGGAUGACCAGCCACACUGGAACUGAGACACGGUCCAGACUCCGACGGGAGGCAGCAGUGGGGAAUAUUGGACAAUGGGCGAAAGCCUGAUGGAGCCAUGCCGCGUGUGUGAAGAAGGCCUUCGGGUUGUAAAGCACUUUCAGCGGGGAGGCGUUACCCACAGAAGAAGCACCGGCUAACUACGUGCCAGCAGCCGCGGUAAUUC